AGUGAACGCUGGCGGUAGGCCUAACACAUGCAAGUCGAACGGCAGCACAGUAAGAGCUUGCUCUUACGGGUGGCGAGUGGCGGACGGGUGAGGAAUACAUCGGAAUCUACUUUUUCGUGGGGGAUAACGUAGGGAAACUUACGCUAAUACCGCAUACGACCUACGGGUGAAAGCAGGGGAUCUUCGGACCUUGCGCGAUUGAAUGAGCCGAUGUCGGAUUAGCUAGUUGGCGGGGUAAAGGCCCACCAAGGCGACGAUCCGUAGCUGGUCUGAGAGGAUGAUCAGCCACACUGGAACUGAGACACGGUCCAGACUCCUACGGGAGGCAGCAGUGGGGAAUAUUGGACAAGGGGCGCAAGCCUGAUCCAGCCAUACCGCGUGGGUGAAGAAGGCCUUCGGGUUGUAAAGCCCUUUUGUUGGGAAAGAAAAGCAGCAGGUUAAUACCCCGCUGUUCUGACGGUACCCAAAGAAUAGGCACCGGCUAACUUCGUGC
rnacentral:rRNA from 1 species